GUAGGGUGCGAGCGUUAAUCGGAAUUACUGGGCGUAAAGCGUGCGCAGGCGGUUGUAUAAGUCAGAUGUGAAAUCCCCGGGCUCAACCUGGGAACUGCAUUUGAGACUGUACGGCUAGAGUGUGGCAGAGGGGGGUAGAAUUCCACGUGUAGCAGUGAAAUGCGUAGAGAUGUGGAGGAAUACCGAUGGCGAAGGCAGCCCCCUGGGCCAAUACUGACGCUCAUGCACGAAAGCGUGGGGAGCAAAC
rnacentral:rRNA from 1 species